CGGAUGCGAUCAUACCAGCACUAAAGCACCGGAUCCCAUCAGAACUCCGAAGUUAAGCGUGCUUGGGCGAGAGUAGUACUAGGGUGGGUGACCUCCUGGGAAGUCCUCGUGUUGCAUGCCUC
rnacentral:rRNA from 1 species